rnacentral:rRNA from 1 species
GCUUACAUCCAUAUCAGCCUGGGUAUGCCCGAUCUCGUCUGAUCUCGGAAGCUAAGCAGGGUCGGGCUUGGUUAGUACUUGGAUGGGAGACCGCCUGGGAAUACCAGGUGCUGUAAGCA